rnacentral:rRNA from 1 species
CGCUGGCGGCGUGCUUAACACAUGCAAGUCGAACGGUGAACCAGGGCUUGCCCUGGGGAUCAGUGGCGAACGGGUGAGUAACACGUGGGCAACCUGCCCCUGACUCUGGGAUAACUCCUCGAAAGAGGUGCUAAUACCGGAUACGACCACUUCGGGCAUCCGAUGGUGGUGGAAAGAAUUUUGGUCAGGGAUGGGCCCGCGGCCUAUCAGCUUGUUGUGGGGUAACGGCCCACCAAGGCGACGACGGGUAGCCGGCCUGAGAGGGCGACCGGCCACACUGGGACUGAGACACGGCCCAGACUCCUACGGGAGGCAGCAGUGGGGAAUAUUGCGCAAUGGGCGAAAGCCUGACGCAGCGACGCCGCGUGAGGGACGACGGCCUUCGGGUUGUAAACCUCUUUCAGCAGGGACGAAGCGAAAGUGACGGUACCUGCAGAAGAAGCACCGGCUAACUACGUG